rnacentral:lncRNA from 1 species
AGCUCUUAGGCAAGUAUCUUUGCCAAGGCAUGAAAUGGAGUCAGAAAGACUUAUUUCCCGCCAAGCAUUGCUGGCAACAAGAAACGUCCUUAUUAACCACAGUUUUCAAUGAAGGAUUUUCAUUGAUCUGUGAGUGUGCACUUGCAUCCCAGAAGGCCAAUCGUAUCCUUGUUUCCAUCAGAAGAUGCAUACCCGGCAGAGUGAGGAAGUUGAUUGUUCCCCUCUAUUCUGCCCUUGUGAGGCCCCGUCUAGAGUACUGUGUCCAGGUCUGGGGCCUCCAAUACAGGAAAGAUAUGGAGGUUUUGGAGAGGCUCCAGAGAAGGGCUACAAAGAUGAUCCAAGGACUGGAGCACUUCUCUUAUGAAGACAGGCUGAAGAAACUGAUCUUGUUCAUCCUGGAAAAGAGAAAACUGCAGGGAGACCUCAUUGCAGCCUUCCAGUAUUUAGAGGGAGUUUAUAAACAUUAAGGAAAUCAACUUUUUAUAUGGGUAGAUAGUAAUAUGACAAAAGGGAAGGCUUUCAAGCUAAAGAGAGGAAGAUUUAGAUUAGAUGUCAAGGGGAAGUUCUUUAUUGAGAGAGUGGUGAGGUGCAGGAACAGGUUGCCCAGAGAGGUUGUGGAUGCCCCUUCCCUGGAGGUGUUCAAGGCCAGGUUGCAUGUGGCUCUGGACAAUCUGGUCCAGUAUUUGAUUGAGGGUCUGGCAAGUCUGCCUGUGUCAGGGGAGUGGAAAGUGAUGACCCUUGAUGUUCCUUCCAGCCCAAGCCACUCUACGAUUCUAUGAAAUUAAUUACUUGAGUUGGAGGCUAAGUACAAGUUAGAUAUUCAUGGAUAAAAGUAAAUUCUUUAUUAUAAUUAAUAUUUAGAAAUGCUGACCUCAAAAUACAUUUUACGGUAACAGUAGGAAGGAAUAAUUUAGAUAAAAUUGACUAACAAUAACAUUGCAUAAAUUUAUUUUAAAUACCAGGGCAUAUUUUUGAAUAGAGAUGACUAAUAAUGCAUAUAAAUUGCUAUAUCAAGAGCAAAAUGUUUUCCUUGCAUCAAGUCAUUUCUCAUUUAUUUGGUAGGCAGCCUCAUAUUAUGUCAAAAAGUAACACCAAAUACAUACAAUAAUUAAGGUCUUUACUGUGGCAAUGCAAUCUUUUCUUUGACAGGGACUUAUUGAAUAAUCUUAAUCAUCUUGUAUUGAAUCACUGUAGUUUGAAUGGUCCUUCCAGGCUAGAAGGUCCUCCAUAUGGCCUUCUUGGUGUGCUGGAGAUACCUC